rnacentral:rRNA from 1 species
GAUGAACGCUGGCGGCGUGCCUAAUACAUGCAAGUCGAGCGAACGGACGAGAAGCUUGCUUCUCUGAUGUUAGCGGCGUACGGGUGAGUAACACGUGGAUAACCUACCUAUAAGACUGGGAUAACUUCGGGAAACCGGAGCUAAUACCGGAUAAUAUUUUGAACCUCAUGGUUCAAAAGUGAAAGACGGUCUUGCUGUCACUUAUAGAUUGAUUCGCGCUGCAUUAGCUAGUUGGUAAGGUAACGGCUUACCAAGGCAACGAUGCAUAGCCGACCUGAGAGGGUGAUCGGCCACACAGGAACUGAGACGCGGUCCAGACUCCUACGGGAGGCAGCAGUAGGGAAUCUUCCGCAAUGGGCGAAAGCCUGACGGAGCAACGACGCGUGAGUGAUGAAGAUCUUCGGAUCGUAAAACUCUGUUAUUAGGGAAGAACAUAUGUGUAAGUAACUGUGCACAUCUUGACGGUACCUAAUCAGAAAGCCACGGAUAACUACGUG